rnacentral:rRNA from 1 species
GUGGGGAAUUUUGGACAAUGGGCGCAAGCCUGAUCCAGCCAUGCCGCGUGUAUGAAGAAGGCCUUCGGGUUGUAAAGUACUUUUGUUGGGGAAGAAAAGGUGUGUGCUAAUACCACAUACUGAUGACGGUACCCAAAGAAUAAGCACCGGCUAACUACGUGCCAGCAGCCGCGGUAAUACGUAGGGUGCGAGCGUUAAUCGGAAUUACUGGGCGUAAAGCGAGCGCAGACGGUUAGUUAAGCAAGAUGUGAAAUCCCCGGGCUCAACCUGGGAACAGCGUUUUGAACUGGCUGACUAGAGUAUGUCAGAGGGGGGUAGAAUUCCACGUGUAGCAGUGAAAUGCGUAGAGAUGUGGAGGAAUACCGAUGGCGAAGGCAGCCCCCUGGGAUAAUACUGACGUUCAUGCUCGAAAGCGUGGGUAGCAAACAGGAUUAGAAACCCUAGUAGUCC